rnacentral:misc_RNA from 1 species
AACUUUUGGCAAUGGAUCUCUUGGCUCUCGCAUCGAUGAAGAACGCAGCGAAAUGCGAUAAGUACUGUGAAUUGCAGAAUUCAGUGAAUCAUCGAAUCUUUGAACGCACCUUGCACCCUUUGGCAUUCCGAAGGGUAUGCUCGUUUGAGUGUCAUUGUACUCUCACACUCCCGAUGCUUUUGGAUUGGGAGUGGUGGACUUGGGUGUUGCUGCUUUACUGUGGCUCACCUCAAAUGGAGUAGUGCAACUCUUGGUUGGACAUAGUACGGCGUGAUAAGUGUCUUCGCCGGCGCCUCAUUAGAGGGUGGCCGAUCGGGAGCUCUGUGCUUCAAACCGUCUUCGGACAACAUCUGACAACUUGACCUCAAAUCGAGUAGGACUACCCGCUGAACUUAAGCAUAUCAAUAAGCGGAGGCU